rnacentral:tRNA from 1 species
CGCGGGGUGGAGCAGUUGGCAGCUCGUCGGGCUCAUAACCCGGAGGUCGUUGGUUCGAAUCCUUCCCCCGCUACCA